AGAGUUUGAUCCUGGCUCAGGAUGAACGCUGGCGGCGUGCUUAACACAUGCAAGUCGAACGAAGCACUCAGGAGCGACUUCGGUCAAUCCUGUUUGACUUAGUGGCGGACGGGUGAGUAACGCGUGAGGAACCUGCCUUGCAGUGGGGAAUAACAGUUGGAAACGACUGCUAAUACCGCAUAAUGCAGAGAGAUCGCAUGGUCUUUCUGCCAAAGAUUUAUCGCUGUGAGAUGGCCUCGCGUCUGAUUAGCUAGUUGGUGAGGUAACGGCCCACCAAGGCGACGAUCAGUAGCCGGACUGAGAGGUUGAUCGGCCACAUUGGGACUGAGACACGGCCCAG
rnacentral:rRNA from 1 species